UACGUAGGGUGCGAGCGUUGUCCGGAAUUAUUGGGCGUAAAGAGCUUGUAGGCGGUUUGUCGCGUCUGCUGUGAAAAUCCGGGGCUCAACCCCGGACUUGCAGUGGGUACGGGCAGACUAGAGUGUGGUAGGGGAGAUUGGAAUUCCUGGUGUAGCGGUGAAAUGCGCAGAUAUCAGGAGGAACACCGAUGGCGAAGGCAGGUCUCUGGGCCACUACUGACGCUGAGAAGCGAAAGCAUGGGGAGCGAACAGG
rnacentral:rRNA from 1 species